rnacentral:rRNA from 1 species
ACGGAAGGCAGCAGUGGGGAAUAUUGCACAAUGGGGGAAACCCUGAUGCAGCGACGCCGCGUGAGUGAAGAAGUAUUUCGGUAUGUAAAGCUCUAUCAGCAGGAAAGAAAAUGACGGUACCUGACUAAGAAGCCCCGGCUAACUACGUGCCAGCAGCCGCGGUAAUACGUAGGGGGCAAGCGUUAUCCGGAUUUACUGGGUGUAAAGGGAGCGUAGACGGCUUUGCAAGUCUGAAGUGAAAGCCCGGGGCUCAACCCCGGAACUGCUUUUGAAACUGUAGAGCUAGAGUGCAGGAGAGGUAAGUGGAAUUCCUAGUGUAGCGGUGAAAUGCGUAGAUAUUAGGAGGAACACCAGUGGCGAAGGCGGCUUACUGGACUGUAACUGACGUUGAGGCUCGAAGGCGUGGGGAGCAAACAGGAUUAGAUACCCUGGUA